UACGUAGGGUGCGAGCGUUGCCCGGAUUUACUGGGCGUAAAGCGCGCGCAGGCGGCUUUUUAAGUCCGACGGUGAAAUGCCGGGGCUCAACCCCGUGCCCGCCGCGGAUACUGGGAAGCUGGAGACAUGUAGAGGCAAGCGGAAUUCCGGGUGUAGCGGUGGAAUGCGUAGAUAUCCGGAGGAACACCAGUGGCGAAAGCGGCCACCUGGACUGCACCUGACGCUGACACGCGAAAGCUAGGGGAGCGAACGGG
rnacentral:rRNA from 1 species